AAGGAUCACCAUAGAAACAUGAUUUCACUCUUCAUGUGCAGCGUCGUGGAUUCGGCGUGUGGCGUCGUGGAUUCGGCGUGUGGCGUCGUGGAUUCAGUGUGUGGCGUUGUGGAUUCGGCGUGAUCAAGGCUUUGUGGAUUCGAAGCUUGGCGUUUCGUGGAUUCGGGACAUGGCGUUUGUGGAUUAGGACGUGAGGCGUGGCGUUCGUGGAUUCGAACAUGGGGUGUGGACAACCCGGUGAUGUACGCGAGAUCCGUAGGAAGUUAAGAAAGGUUAAGUCCAUGGAGUCGAUAAUUAUCUUGUAAUCUUUUCUCUUAGUGGAUUAUUUUUUCGCGUGUUGGUCCCUGGGUUU
rnacentral:lncRNA from 1 species